UUAAGAGAGGAGCAGGCUGUUAAGGCUGGAAAACAGCCACAGUAGCAGCAAAGGUUAAAGCAGUGGCAGAGUUUAGAGACAGUACACUCUGAAAGGAAAGGCAUAGUGGGCUGCUGGAAAGAGAAUGAGCCAACAGCCCUGAGAGUUCUGCGUUAAGGUUUUCCUUUUAAGUUCCCGCCUCUGUCUUAACUCUCUACCUUUGUCUUUGUCUAGUUUCCCUCUUCUGCCUUAAGUCUCUGCCUUUCUCCCACCUAGUUCUCAUUCCAGGUAUGUGGUGUUCUCCCUCAGUGUCAGUUGAUACACAGAUACAGGCUCACUGUUGGAAGUAGCUCCUUCCUAAUGAUGGUGCUGCUCAUUACAGUCACCCCAGGAAGGUCUUACAGUGGUUAAAUACGUACUUACUGCACCUGUGUACCUCUUAGGAAUUUCACUUUUGCCCUCUUUCCUUCAUCAGCUACUUUCUGAUAGCUUAACUGCAGAGUGAACAGUUACUGAGCAUCUAUCUCAAGAGACGUUCCAGGGUGUUCCUUCCUGCUUACGUAUUUUCCUUCCUCUCUGCUCAUAUCUAGCAUGCAUGUUUCGGAUCGUCUCUGAGCUGUAAGAUUUUCCAGACCUCUUUUUCCCAGGGGCUCCCCCUUCCGGUUCAUAUCUAGCUAUCUGCAUGUCCUAGCAUUUAUGGUAGUCUUCCCUUCCUUCCUUUCUCCUUUCUUCCCUCCCUUCUUUCUUCCCAGUCGAGCUCCUGUAAUUUCUCAGGAGAGUGGAUAUGCAUUUCCUUAUUAGAAUUUACAUCUUUAUUUCAAUGCUGGGAAUAUAAGUUGGGAAGUAGUUCUCAUUUUGAACUGUCAUUUUUUUCCGCAUUCUUUAGAAAAGGAAGAUAAAGCAGGAUUUGGAGGCAGAACCUUAGCAUUUCCCUUGUUCUCUAAGUGCUCCCAGGCCUUCUCCCUCUCUAAAAUUGUCAGUGUUCAUUUUUAGACGCAUUAGGAGAAAGUGGCUUUCAGUAACCAUUGUCUGACUUCUUAGUGCAGGAACCUGGGUGGAUUAAUUGAAACAUUCUAAAACUAAAUAAAGUUGGCAUCAGGGGGUCCAGCUGAGCACAUACAGGUGUUACAUGCAAGUCCCCCUAAUUAGUUGCCAUAUCAGGAAGUGAUUGUGUCUUCAGCUGACUUUGUUUAAACAUGAGAUGGUCCUUAGUACUGGAGAUAGAGCCCAUUUGUAUUUGUUUUUCCUGUUUGAGAGUUACCCUUGAAAGGUAUGUCGGUAUUAUUUGUCUACAAUAAUUUUCUUGUAACCAUAUUGUUAAAUCUUUGUCAGAUUUUUAUCUUCUCCUUCCAGUCAGCAACAAAAUAUUUAUUUACUUCACUACUCACAUAUCUCAAGUUCAACUCAAUGUUUCAUUUAUCGAAGUGAAAUAAAAUGGCUACGUAAUUUACCAGUUAUUCAUGUAUUCUGAUUGUGCCAGCCUUCAGUGUGAACCUCUGGAAACUAAAUAAGAUGUGUGAACUAUAGUCCUCUGUGUUAUUUUACAGUUGCUAUAGUAGUAGUAGUUAAGAUGUAUUAAUGUAAGAAGUAGAAUAUUAUUACAUACCUAGAUGUCAGUAAUGUCUAAAUACUUUAUGAGCCUUGCUAUAUUUAAUAAUUGAAAAUGACAUUAUAGUGGAUAUUUUAAUACAGAUUUACAGAAUCUGAGAAAGGGCUGGACUUGGGCAGGACUGGAAUAUGGGCCUACAAAUUGUACAGGUCUGGUAUGAAAUUGCAACCCUUUCACACACUGGCCAGGAAACCUCAGGGAAGAUGUCUUCAUCUAUAUAGUAAGAGUAUUACUUAUUUUAUGGGUAUUGUAAUGAUAAAAUCAGUGAAUGUACAAGAAGUCCUUGGAAUAUAAUAAAUACUAAAUAAA